rnacentral:lncRNA from 1 species
CAAAAACACUAGGCAGGGUGUUGCAGUCGUCACCAGCAGCAGCUUGAUACAGAUUUCGCAAAGCAGAAGUCAGCCCGGAAGAUCACCGUGUCGAACAAUUUAAGCCACUGUGAUAUAAUGCUGGAUGUGUGUGAAGCAAAGCACCUUCAGAAUGCAAGAGAUGCGAGAGCAUACCCCCUGGGUCAUAAGCAGUCCUGAGAUCUGCUGCUACCAAGCAGCCCAUAUAAAGCAUCUAUGGCUGAGGAUGAAUCACACUGUUAGUGAGGUCAAGAUGAGUUGCUCGCUUACUCCUGAAAAGAUCAAAUUUGUAACCAAAAAGUGCAAGAGAAACUGUUUUGCCCAAGAUAUCUUGAAAAUGUGGGUCACUUAUCACUCUAAAACUUUGAGCAGUUAAGAUAAUGUAAAUCUACAGAGACUUGAUGUGCACCCAGUGUACUAAAUGGUGUUAGCCUGAGGGCACGACGAAAAACAGCAUGAAAAAUGGACUAUCUGCAUUUCUAAAUAUGCCAGACUUAAACAUUCAUAACUUUAAACCUUGUUUCUUUAGAGGCUUCAUUGUCUGUCCUGUGUCGGCAAGUGUUAUGAGCUUGCUAAGUUUGAUGUUUCCAGUUUCAGUCAUUUGGAGUUAGUCAAGCACAAUAAUCCCAAAUGGAACAUAUGGAAACAUCACUCUGUUUUGUCUUGCACACAUAACUCAGAACUGGCUCAGAACGGAUGCAGCUCAAACUUUUCAGACAAAGAAUCGCCAUUGGCCUAAGACCAAGUAUAGGAAAUACAAACCUGUACAGCAUAUGUUGGGAAAGCUGUGCACAUACUACAUUAAAAAACAAAUAUGUAAAACUUAACAGUUUGUGUUGCUAGAUCACUUACUGUAAAGAAGUCCUACUCCUGAUGAAAAUUCAUAGAUGCUGCAUUGCUUUGAUAUAGUCGUAUCUGAGUUUAGUUUAUUACUCAAACCAGUUCAAGGUAAUGGGAUAUUUAAAAGAAAGUAGGCGCUGCCUUAGCAAACUUUUUAAAGACAUUGAAGAAGAAAGGAAUUAGCUUGAAAUCAAAAGUUUAACAUUUGAGUAUAGUUUCA